AACGAACGCUGGCGGCAUGCCUAACACAUGCAAGUCGAACGAGACCUUCGGGUCUAGUGGCGCACGGGUGCGUAACGCGUGGGAACCUGCCCUUAGGUUCGGAAUAACUCCCCGAAAGGGGUGCUAAUACCGGAUAAUGUCUUCGGACCAAAGAUUUAUCGCCUUUGGAUGGGCCCGCGUUGGAUUAGCUCGUUGGUAGGGUAAAAGCCUACCAAGGCGACGAUCCAUAGCUGGGCUGAGAGGAUGAUCAGCCACACUGGGACUGAGACACGGCCCAGACUCCUACGGGAGGCAGCAGUGGGGAAUAUUGGACAAUGGGCGAAGGCCUGAUCCAGCAAUGCCGGGUGAGUGAUGAAGGCCUUAGGGUUGUAAAGCUCUUUUACCCGGGAUGAUAAUGACAGUACCGGGAGAAUAAGCUCCGGCUAACUCCGUG
rnacentral:rRNA from 1 species